rnacentral:rRNA from 1 species
AUUGAACGCUGGCGGAAUGCUUUACACAUGCAAGUCGAACGGUAGACCCUUUCGGGGGUUGAGAGUGGCGAACGGGUGAGUAAUGCAUCGGAACGUACCCAGUCGUGGGGGAUAACGUAGCGAAAGUUACGCUAAUACCGCAUACGUCCUGAGGGAGAAAGCGGGGGAUCGCAAGACCUCGCGCGAUUGGAGCGGCCGAUGUCAGAUUAGCUAGUUGGUGGGGUAAAGGCCUACCAAGGCGACGAUCUGUAGCGGGUCUGAGAGGAUGAUCCGCCACACUGGGACUGAGACACGGCCCAGACUCCUACGGGAGGCAGCAGUGGGGAAUUUUGGACAAUGGGGGAAACCCUGAUCCAGCCAUUCCGCGUGCGGGAAGAAGGCCUUCGGGUUGUAAACCGCUUUCGGACGGAAAGAAAUCGCGCAGGAUAAUACCUUGCGUGGAUGACGGUACCGUAAGAAGAAGCACCGGCUAACUACGUGCCAGCCGCCGCGGUAACAC